UACGGGGGGGGCAAGCGUUGUUCGGAAUUACUGGGCGUAAAGGGCUCGUAGGCGGCCAACUAAGUCGGAUGUGAAAUCCCCAGGCUUAACCUGGGAACUGCAUCCGAUACUGGAUGGCUUGAAUCCGGGAGAGGGAUGCGGAAUUCCAGGUGUAGCGGUGAAAUGCGUAGAUAUCAGGAGGAACACCGGUGGCGAAGGCGGGUCUCUGGGCCGAUACUGACACUGAGGAGCGAAAGCGUGGGGAGCGAACAGG
rnacentral:rRNA from 1 species